UACAGAGGGUGCAAGCGUUGCUCGGAAUCAUUGGGCGUAAAGGGCAGGUAGGUGGUCUGAUUUGUCUGGAGGUGAAAGCCUUGGGCUUAACCCAAGAAGUGCCCCGGAAACGGUCAGACUUUUGAGUCUUGGAGAGGGUCGCGGAAUUCCCGGUGUAGCGGUGAAAUGCGUAGAGAUCCGGAGGAACACCGACGGCGUAGGCAGCGCCCUGGACGACACCUGACGCUGAGGCACGAAAGCUGGGGGAGCAAACAGG
rnacentral:rRNA from 1 species